UACGGGGGGAGCAAGCGUUGUUCGGAUUUACUGGGCGUAAAGGGCGCGUAGGCGGCAACUCAAGUCAGCUGUGAGAUCUCCGAGCUUAACUCGGAACGGUCAGCUGAUACUGUUUUGCUAGAGUGCAGAAGGGGCAAUCGGAAUUCUUGGUGUAGCGGUGAAAUGCGUAGAUAUCAAGAGGAACACCUGAGGUGAAGACGGGUUGCUAGGCUGACACUGACGCUGAGGCGCGAAAGCCAGGGGAGCAAACGGG
rnacentral:rRNA from 1 species